rnacentral:rRNA from 1 species
AUUGAACGCUGGCGGCAUGCCUUACACAUGCAAGUCGAACGGCAGCACGGGUGCUUGCACCUGGUGGCGAGUGGCGAACGGGUGAGUAAUACAUCGGAACGUACCUUAUCGUGGGGAUAACGCAGCGAAAGCUGUGCUAAUACCGCAUAAGCCCUAAGGGGGAAAGCAGGGGACCGUAAGGCCUUGCGCGACUAGAGCGGCCGAUACCUGAUUAGCUAGUUGGUGAGGUAAAGGCUCACCAAGGCAACGAUCAGUAGCUGGUCUGAGAGGACGAUCAGCCCCACUGGGACUGAGACACGGCCCAGACUCCUACGGGAGGCAGCAGUGGGGAAUUUUGGACAAUGGGGGCAACCCUGAUCCAGCAAUGCCGCGUGAGUGAAGAAGGCCUUCGGGUUGUAAAGCUCUUUUGUCAGGGAAGAAACAGCAGCUCUAAUACAGUAUGCGAAUGACGGUACCUGAAGAAUAAGCACCGGCUAACUACGUGCCAGCAGCCGCCGUAA